rnacentral:lncRNA from 1 species
UCGCGUGCUGAGAGUGCAGAGCCUAGACGUGUGUACAAGGCACGCACAAGUGUGUGUCCGCGUGCGUGCAUUUGGUGGAGUGGUGGUGUGUGUGGAUUGUGGACGUCGUGUUUGUGCUCGUAAGAAUUUACGGAAUCGAAGAAAUCGCGUAGAUCUACGAAGAUGCAAUAAAUCAAAUUCAUCCUAUAUUUUUUGAAGCGAAAUGCACCACGUGUGACGUCGAUCAGCACGUGAGAAAUCUUGACGGUUAAGGCCCUGUCUGGAUUGAAGGAAUUUCGGAGGAAUCCAUUUCCUAUGUUUUGCUGAUAUCACGUGUUGUUUGGAACGGAGGAAUGGACCUCGCCGUUCCUCUGGAGAGGCUUUGCUUUCUUCACAAGACGCAGGAACCAAAACAUCCGCUCCGACUCAAAGUUUUC